rnacentral:ncRNA from 1 species
CUGGUUGCUCCUGCUAGUAAUCAUAUGCUUGUCUGAGAGAUUAAGCCAUGCAUAUCUAAGUACUUACCUUAAAACGGUGAAACCGCGAAUUGGUCAUUAAAUCAGCUGAGGUUCCUUAGAUCAUAUAUACUACAUGGAUCACUAUAGUAAUUCUAGAGCUAAUACAUGCAAUUAUGCCCUGACCCGCAAGGAAACCGGUGCAUUCACUAGAACAGAACCAACUGGGGGCAUAAAACUUGGGCACUGUGGUUGAGUAUAACUCCAUUAUGGAUAAGAUUUUAUUCUGAUAAAUCGCACAGUAUUGUACAGUAAUAUUAACUGAUGACGUUUCGAGCACAAACUAUUGCCACUCAUAAUAAUAUCCAGUUACUCACACAACUUUUUUUCUUCAUUUAUAUACAUGUGUGGAAUCGAUUAGAUAUUGGAUUAAAAAUCAAUAUGAGAUAAUGUACAUUCAGAAACAGCAAUUUCAGCUGUCUCUGUUGAAUUAUGCGAUGAUUCUGGAUAACUUUGAAAACCGGAGUCAGCUUUCUACCGGCUACGGAUCUUUCAAAUGUCUGCCCUAUCAGUUUGUUGGUGGCUGAUCUGCCCAUCAUGAUAAUGACUGGUAACAGGGAAUCAGGAUCCGAUUCUAGAAAGGGAGCCUGAGAAAUGGCUAUUACAUCCAAGCACGACACAGCAGUAGAAUGCUCGCCGACCAUGCAGGUGACUCGGGAUUCGAUCCCCAGCUACGGACGCACUCUUUUAUCUCACUAUGCCAACAAUAAGACUGGUAAAAAGAGGCUAGCAGCCCUAUCCGGUAACAAUAAGCAACACU